rnacentral:misc_RNA from 1 species
AAGAGUUGAAAAACUCACCCAAAACCACCGUGAACAUACCUUUUAACCGUUGCCUCGGCAGGCGGCCCCAGGGCGGGGCCAUGGCCUGGAAUAAUGGCGCCUGCCGGGGGUUUUUAAAACUGUUAUUUCUGUCAGCUUCUGAGUCGGGAAAAACAAACCCAAUCA